UACGUAGGGGGCAAGCGGUGUCCGGAUUUAUUGGGCGUAAAGAGCGUGUAGGCGGCUUGGUAGGUCUCGCGUCAAAACCUGAGGCUCAACCUCAGUUCGCGUGGGAAACCACCUAGCUAGAGUCCGGAAGAGGAGAACGGAAUUCCCAGUGUAGCGGUGAAAUGCGCAGAUAUUGGGAAGAACACCAGUGGCGAAGGCGGUUCUCUGGGACGGUACUGACGCUGAGACGCGAAAGCGUGGGGAGCGAACAGG
rnacentral:rRNA from 1 species